rfam:Phytophthora infestans T30-4 supercont1.1 genomic scaffold, whole genome shotgun sequence.
GCUCUUAUGGUGUAAUGGUUAGCACUCUGGACUUUGAAUCCAGCGAUCCCGGGUUCAAAUCCCGGUAGGGAGCU